rnacentral:rRNA from 1 species
UGGGGAAUUUUGGACAAUGGGGGCAACCCUGAUCCAGCCAUGCCGCGUGAGUGAAGAAGGCCUUCGGGUUGUAAAGCUCUUUCAGCCGGGAAGAAAAUGCAUGGGUUAAUACCCUGUGCAGAUGACGGUACCGGAAUAAGAAGCACCGGCUAACUACGUGCCAGCAGCCGCGGUAAUACGUAGGGUGCGAGCGUUAAUCGGAAUUACUGGGCGUAAAGCGUGCGCAGGCGGUUUUGUAAGACAGGCGUGAAAUCCCCGGGCUUAACCUGGGAACUGCGUUUGUGACUGCAAGGCUAGAGUACGGCAGAGGGGGGUGGAAUUCCACGUGUAGCAGUGAAAUGCGUAGAGAUGUGGAGGAACACCAAUGGCGAAGGCAGCCCCCUGGGUCGAUACUGACGCUCAUGCACGAAAGCGUGGGUAGCAAACAGGAUUAGAUACCCUGGUAGUCCACGCCCUAAACGAUGUCAACUAGGUGUUGGGAGGGUAAAACCUUUUAGUACCGUAGCUAACGCGAGAAGUUGACCGCCUGGGGAGUACGGCCGCAAGGUUA